GACGAACGCUGGCGGCGUGCUUAACACAUGCAAGUCGAACGGAAAGGCCCUGCUUUUGUGGGGUGCUCGAGUGGCGAACGGGUGAGUAACACGUGAGUAACCUGCCCUUGACUUUGGGAUAACUUCAGGAAACUGGGGCUAAUACCGGAUAGGAGCUCCUGCUGCAUGGUGGGGGUUGGAAAGUUUCGGCGGUUGGGGAUGGACUCGCGGCUUAUCAGCUUGUUGGUGGGGUAGUGGCUUACCAAGGCGUUGACGGGUAGCCGGCCGGAGAGGGUGACCGGCCACGUUGGUACUGGGAUACGGCCCAGACUCCUACGGGAGGCAGCAGUGGGGAAUAUUGCACAAUGGGCGGAAGCCUGAUGCAGCAACGCCGCGUGCGGGAUAACGGCCUGCGGGUUGUAAACCGCUUUCGCCUGUGACGAAGCGUGAGUGACGGUAAUGGGUAAAGAAGCACCGGCUAACUACGUG
rnacentral:rRNA from 1 species